rnacentral:pre_miRNA from 1 species
GUACUACUCCCUCCAUCCAACAAAAGAUGUCUCAAGUUUGUCAAAAUUUGGAUGUAUCUAGACAUGACUUAGUGUAUAGAUGCAUUCAAAUUUAGUCAAAGUUGAGACAUUCUUUGUUGGACGGAGGGAGUACGUA